AUACGUACCUGGCAGGGGAGAUACUGUGAUCGUGAAGGUGGUUCUCCCAGGGCAAGGCUUGUCCGUUGCACUCGGGAUGUGAUGACCCUGUGAUUUCCCCGACUGUGGGAAACUCCACUGCGUGAUUGGUGGUGGGGGGGGGAGGGGGAUGAGAGUUGCUGAUACCAUU